rnacentral:lncRNA from 1 species
AAAAUAAAUGAAAAAAAAAAAAAAAAAUCCGAAAACAUUAAUGAGACUAGGCGCGGCCGAGUUGGUUUUAAAUUUUUUAUGCCUAGCGGUUUUAUUAAUGCCGCAUAAUCAAACAAUAGAAUGGCAUUAGUAUUAAUGAAUGACGUCCGGUCAUCGCGUAACUAAUUCCGGAAAAUGCCGGAUUUUUUUUUUUUUUUUCCGUUCGGCAGAUUUUUCUAAAGCAACCAGAUGUCGCCACAAGAAUGAGGUUGGUAAGCUGAUCGACUAAAUAUUAAUACGGUUGUUUCUUUAAACUUAUAACCAUUUUUUAAGCAAUUAGUCGGUUUGUUUAUUUUUUUUUUCCUCCGCAUUCUAAACGAAAUGCUUAUCUCUACCGUUUAAAAUUUAAGUAAAUAGCUGUCUAUUGUUAAGCGUACGAGGAAUCGGAAGUUCUUAAGCGGUAUUGUUUGUGCGACAAUUAAUUCCGAAGCGAAUAAUAACAACGAGACGAUGGUCGGAGAGCUAAAAAACAAAUGGAGUUAGUUGUGAAAGACAAAAAGCGUAGCCGCGAGCCUUCUUGGGAGAAAUGCCAUAUCCAUCUUCUGGUAACACGACUUUUUUAAAAGAUGUGUAAUUACCUGGUUGUUGUUCCCAGUAAAUUACUCCUGUCUAAAAGUCAUGCAAAUGUUGUCACUGCCGGGGGCGCUGACAAAUGGUGAAUACCAUUCCGAUUAUUGUAAUGGAUGUAAUCCAGUAAUAACAGGAUUGGUGCCCGACGUCCCCGUGAUGCCGCCGGCUGCAGAUGUCAAGUGUUUCUUGCCCCCUUCCUUCCUCCCCCCUUCAUUAUUCUCUCGGCUUAAGAACCAAUAAGGUAAAGGCGUCCGAUGGCUAUUUAUCGUGUUCGAGCGCCAAGCGUGACUCGAGUUAAUACUCGAAUUGGAAGAAUCGAUCCUCUCCGACGAUUAAGAUGAAAUAAUUACCGUUCUAGAUAUGCAAUCGCCAUCCAUCUUGAUAGUUCUACGGCCAUCAUUCGGUUUAAAUGAGUACUUGCGCCCAUUCUUGGCCGUAUGAAGCCCGUCCCGGUUCGCGUCCCGCUAAAAAAAAAAAAAACAAAAAAAGGCAUGAGAUUUAGGCAAUUUCAUAACCGGGUUAACGGAACCGGGAGUGCCGUGCCAUCUUGUAUUCUUAUCCUGGAAGAGAAAAGAAAAAAUGGCACCGCUGUUGGUCAUCCUUAACGGUUUCCUUUAUAAAUUUAAAGUAGAACCCUAUUCUGAGUGUCGAAUGUGAGAGAUAAAUGACAGAACGAUGCCGCUGAUAAAGAAUGUAGAGAUCCGAUGGGAUUCGAACCAGAAAUUUACGGUUUGUAGACGUCAUCUUAUUCAUUGUGUACUACUUGGUAUCAGCUACGUGAGCGAACUGUAUAUGUCUCACCUAUUUUCCUUGCAUUUUCCAAUGACUUCAUUAGUUUGUUUCUUCGACGAUGAAUCUAAUUUUGCAUGUUUCCGCCAUUCAGUUUUACAGCUUUUAUGUCUACAGAUAACUUAUUCUAAUUUUGGACGAAUACGCAAUCUGAUGAUUAAAUAUUUGCAUAAAUUCAACAAGCAUCUCUUCGGGAUUAAUUUAGUCAGUGAUUAAUCUUGAGGGUUAAGUUUGCAUAAUAUUAGCUAAGCGGUCUUAAAAUCAGUUUUGCCUGAUUGUCAAUGGACGAACCUGCACGGUUAACACCCGAAAUUUCCAUAAAACCAUUUAUACGAGAAGUAUUUUUGGCAUAAUUAAUUCCCAUAUUGCAGUAACGGUUAUUAUUUAUGACGUUACGUUGAUACGGUUAACAAAUUUCGUGAUUAAAAUCACUAGGAGGGUGUUUAUUGCCAUCUAUGCAAUUUAAUUUCUCAAAAAAAAAAAGAAAAGAAGAGGAAAAAAAAAAGACUCCCCGAUUAAGUGCGGCCGACAUCUAAGAGAAUUUUCUAGUGGAGUGUCUUACUAGCGAUUACUAUUGAUAUUCAUUCUAGACACGUCCGACUAGAGUACAUUUCUUUACUUGAUUAGAACUUGCUCUUCUACGCUGCGCACAUCAUAGUGGUCGUGCGACAAAUGCAUUGCUUUCUGUUCUGAUUCAGCACUUUACACUUCUGUUUUUCAAAAUUGAAAAAUUUGAUUUAUGUCCUAUUUGCAUUUAAUUCUCCCGGUUCUCCCUCCAACUGAUUUUAUAUAUAUAUUUUUAUUUUUUAGAGUGCUUCACGUCAGCUAGGUAAAAUAAAUAAUUCCCGACAAUUAAACAGCUUUGCAACAAGUUCCAUUCGAGUUUUAGGUUUUAUAUAAAGACGUAGGUGGAAGUUUCUCGGAAGUGAUUGCAGUCAAGCAAAUGGGAAUGUUUCGUGUAAAAUAUUGUAAACACUCAUUCUCUUCUUAUUUUCAAGCUGUCGAACUCGUGAAGUAAGAUGCUCCUUCCCAACCUGUAUUGCACGCGAGAACGAAUUUCACCGUUCACCUGGUACAUUGCACUUCAUCCCAACAAUAAUUAGACUUUGUCGUAAAAGUAACGUUUAUGAUACGACUAGACAAGCAGCUCUAGCAAAAUUAAUUAAGUACCGAUACAUAAAACUAAGAAAAUGAAAUGCCCAGUCGUAAGCUUGGAUUAAGACUCGAGGAGUUAUUUCCUCAUCCAAAUUUGGGGUUUAGUCGAACGAUAAACGAGAAAAAAAAAUAUAUUCUAUAUUAACCACAAAUUUCUCUUGCCAGGAUGAUUUUUACUGCCUUUUCUAAAUGCGUGUGGCAUUUAUAUAAUUUUUUCGCGCUAAAAUGCCAAUUUUGUUCCAAAUUCUGUAUUAUAAACAAAAAAAAAAAAUGUCUACUUAAAAAAAUUGUUGGAUUUUUCUAGGAUGAUUUUAAAAUCUUAAUAAAUAAAAACGAUAAAUAUAAAAAAAUUUUGUCGUUAACUGGAUUCAUCUGUAAGUUUAUAUAAAUAUAGUUAUAUAUGACAUAUUUUAAUAUUAAAGAAGUAAACGAUAAGCAGAUUUAUAUACGCUUUCUAUUGAAUAAAAUAGCACAAAUUGAGGAUUAACCCCUGGAAGAUUACUUCUCCGAUUUACUCGUAGGUCUUACUGACAAGGACUCAUUGUAGGAAUGAUUGCUUUUAUCGGAUGUAGUCACGUUAAUAUUCCAUAUAUUAAAUAACCACCUGGAACUUUUCACUUUAAUAAAAUGCUUUAUUUUUCUCGGAAAAAUAAUUAUUUACGCGUUUUAAUCAUCAGGUAUGGCGCAUAAAUUAUGUAAAGCUCAUUUUAAUUCCAUUAAUUCGGCGUGUUGAUCGAAUGAGAAAAUUAUUUGGUAGGUAUUAAAAAUUAAAGACGACGUUAUUAAUAAAAAUCUCGUCGAAUUAACAUUAGCUUAAGCCGAUAAUGCGCUAAUUUCCUAACAGAGUGAAUGUUAUUAUUGAAAAGUAAUUAAUUUAAUUAAUAAAUGGUCCGAUAACAGGUUAAGUCAACCGUAAGUAAUUUAUCAUCGGCAUAUGUUACGAUGAAAACGCAUUCUUUCUCAUGGCCAUUACUAUUAAUUAUUUAUCGGUUUACCGCGCUUCAGAUUUUAAUUGCUAAUCGAUCGAUUUGUUAAUGCAGAAAUCAAAUUUAUUUAAGAUUAAAGAGAUAUUGUGUUGGAGAAACAUCCGCCAUCGAACGGCCUUUUGUUGUUGUUGUUUCCUUUUUUAUGUAGCGAUUAUAUCCGUAUACAUUUCGAGAUUGGGUAAUGUUUUAAUAAUUUUUGUGCAUUUGUUCCUUCCAAUGCACGCAAUUUAUAAAGACAAUAGAAAAAUUGUUUUUUAAAAAUUGCGUUUUGUUUCGUCAUUCAGUUCUAGAAAUUUUUGUGAUAUGAUGAAUGGUAAAUCGCUACAUCAUUUAUAUACG